AUUGAGCGCUGGCGGCAGGCCUAACACAUGCAAGUCGAGCGGAUGAAGGGAGCUUGCUCCUGGAUUCAGCGGCGGACGGGUGAGUAAUGCCUAGGAAUCUGCCUGGUAGUGGGGGAUAACGUCCGGAAACGGGCGCUAAUACCGCAUACGUCCUGAGGGAGAAAGUGGGGGAUCUUCGGACCUCACGCUAUCAGAUGAGCCUAGGUCGGAUUAGCUAGUUGGUGGGGUAAAGGCCUACCAGGGCGACGAUCCGUAACUGGUCUGAGAGGAUGAUCAGUCACACUGGAACUGAGACACGGUCCAGACUCCUACGGGAGGCAGCAGUGGGGAAUAUUGGACAAUGGGCGAAAGCCUGAUCCAGCCAUGCCGCGUGUGUGAAGAAGGUCUUCGGAUUGUAAAGCACUUUAAGUUGGGAGGAAGGGCAGUAAGUUAAUACCUUGCUGUUUUGACGUUACCAACAGAAUAAGCACCGGCUAACUUCGUG
rnacentral:rRNA from 1 species